rnacentral:rRNA from 1 species
UGUGUACGAGAUGCUACGGCAUCGAAGCAGUCUAUGUCAUACUUCCAAGAAAAGCUUGCAAUGUCAUAAACAAAUAAUGCCUGUACCAUAACCGACACAGGUGGGUAGGUAGAGUAUACUAAGGGGCGCGAGAUAACUCUCUCUAAGGAACUCGGCAAAAUGACUCCGUAACUUCGGGAGAAGGAGUGCCUUAUUUUUAUAAGGUUGCAAUAACAAGAUCCAAGCAACUGUUUACCAAAAACACAGGUCUCCGCUAAGUCGUAAGACGAUGUAUGGGGGCUGACGCCUGCCCAGUGCCAGAAGGUUAAAGAAGUUGGUUAGCAUUAGCGAAGCUGAUAACUGAAGCCCUGGUGAACGGCGGCCGUAACGAUAACGGUCCUAAGGUAGCGAAAUUCCUUGUCGGGUAAGUUCCGACCCGCACGAAAGGCGUAAUGAUUUGGAUACUGUCUCGGAGAGGGGCUCGGUGAAAUAGACUUGUCUGUGAAGAUGCGGACUACCUGCACCUGGACAGAAAGACCCUAUGAAGCUUUACUGUAACUUGAGAUUGAAAUUGGACUUUAUCUGCGCAGUAUAGGUGGGAGACGUUGAAAAUAUUCUUGCGGGAAUAUUGGAGUCAUCAGUGAGAUACCACUCUUAUAAUGUUAGAUUUCUAACUUUGUAUCAUUAUCUGGUCAAAGAACAGUUUCAGGCGGGCAGUUUGACUGGGGCGGUCGCCUCCCAAACGGUAACGGAGGCGCACAAAGGUUUCCUCUGAACGUGUAGAAAUCGUAUCUAGAGUGUAAAGGCAUAAGGAAGCUUGACUGUGAGACCUACAAGUCGAGCAGGGACGAAAGUCGGUCUUAGUGAUCUGACGGUGCUGAGUGGAAAGGCCGUCACUCAACGGAUAAAAGUUACUCUAGGAUAACAGGCUGAUCUCCCCCAAGAGUUCACAUCGACGGGGAGGUUUGGCACCUCGAUGUCGGCUCAUCGCAUCCUGGGGCGGUAGUACGUCCCAAGGGUUGGGCUGUUCGCCCAUGAAAGCGGUACGCGAGCUGGGUUCAGAACGUCGUGAGACAGUUCGGUCCAUAUCCGGUGUAGGCGUUAGAAUAUUGAGAGGAGCCUUCUUUAGUACGAGAGGACCGAGAAGGACAUACCUCUGGUGUACCAGUUAUCGUGCCAACGGUAAACGCUGGGUAGCCAUGUAUGGAGAGGAUAACCGCUGAAAGCAUCUAAGUGGGAAGCCCACCUCAAGAUAAG